GGGGAUUUAGCUCAGUGAUAGAGCGCUUGCCUAGGAAGCGCAAGGCCCUGGGUUCGAUCCCCAGCUCCG
rfam:Rattus norvegicus chromosome 12, whole genome shotgun sequence.